rnacentral:rRNA from 1 species
UAGGGAAUCUUCGGCAAUGGACGAAAGUCUGACCGAGCAACGCCGCGUGAGUGAAGAAGGUUUUCGGAUCGUAAAACUCUGUUGUUAGAGAAGAACAAGGACGUUAGUAACUGAACGUCCCCUGACGGUAUCUAACCAGAAAGCCACGGCUAACUACGUGCCAGCAGCCGCGGUAAUACGUAGGUGGCAAGCGUUGUCCGGAUUUAUUGGGCGUAAAGCGAGCGCAGGCGGUUUCUUAAGUCUGAUGUGAAAGCCCCCGGCUCAACCGGGGAGGGUCAUUGGAAACUGGGAGACUUGAGUGCAGAAGAGGGGGGUGGAAUUCCAUGUGUAGCGGUGAAAUGCGUAGAUAUAUGGAGGAACACCAGUGGGGAAGGCGGGUCUCUGGUCUGUAACUGACGCUGAGGCUCGAAAGCGUGGGGAGCAAACAGG